rnacentral:rRNA from 1 species
GACGAACGCUGGCGGCGUGCCUAAUACAUGCAAGUCGAGCGGACCAAACAGGAGCUUGCUCUUGUUUGGUUAGCGGCGGACGGGUGAGUAACACGUGGGUAACCUGCCCGUAAGACCGGGAUAACUCCGGGAAACCGGAGCUAAUACCGGAUAACAACGAAGACCGCAUGGUCUUUGGUUGAAAGGCGGCUUCGGCUGCCACUUACGGAUGGGCCCGCGGCGCAUUAGCUAGUUGGUGAGGUAACGGCUCACCAAGGCGACGAUGCGUAGCCGGGCUGAGAGGGUGACCGGCCACACUGGGACUGAGACGCGGCCCAGACUCCUACGGGAGGCAGCAGUAGGGAAGCGUCCGCGAUGGACGAAAGUCUGACGGAGCGACGCCGCGUGAGCGAAGAAGGUCUUCGGAUCGUAAAGCUCUGUUGUUAGGGAAGAAGAAGCGCCGUUCGAACAGGGCGGCGCGGUGACGGUACCUAACGAGAAAGCCCCGGCUAACUACGUG